rnacentral:tRNA from 1 species
ACCUGGCUUGCUCAGUUGGUAGAGCAUGUGACUCUUGAUCUCAGGGUUAUAGGUUCAAGCCCCAUCCUGGAUA